UGAGCACAUUCAUUUUAAGACUUUUGAUUGACUUUUAAACUAUUAGUUGGACCACCAUACCAAAAGGGAGUGAACUAAUCAAAUGAACAAUGCUGGCUUCCAUUUAUUGAUUAUCUUAUUUAUGAUUUUUUUUCUGUGAGGCCCUUCCCUUCACCCUUGAGACCUUGAGUCCCAGAGAUAAAUAUGACAUAAUCCCUGCUAAGAAGAGUGUAGCGACAGAAAGACUUGUUCAUGUCACUUGCCUUCACAGGAUAAGUUUUCUGUAAAAUGUCACUUCCCUUAUCGAAUACAGGGCACUAUGCUUGUUCAUUGAAAAAGGAACUAAGUUUUAAUUGUGGUAGGUUUCUGAGAAGAGAAGAUGUCUGUAUCAAGAACAAGUACAAGAAAACUGGACAAAAUAUGCAUGUGUGUAGGAUCUGCAGCGGAUGGGGACAUGAACCAAGGGCAUGAAUUUAAGACAAUAAGCAGCAUUUGAAAAAUAAGAAAGGGUUGUAGGAUUUUUCUUCUCAGUCACUUUGCAAGCCAGGGACCCUCGAUCGAUGACGCCCCGCCCGGGCCUUGCUCUGCCACGCUGCAUGCCCCAGCUCGCCUGUGUGAUAGCUUGUACCCACGUUCAGUGGUUCCUGAGCUUUUGCACCCUGCCCAAGAAGAAUGAGGAUAUGCUGGACAUUGAAGGGGUGGCCUUGUUUGAUGUUGCUGUUUUAUGAAAUUACACUAUCCAUGUACAACAUAAGGAAAAUGUGACCCAGCUGAGAGCGCCAGGCCAGAUUCUGGCAACACCGAUGUCUGGAUGUCAGUGCCAAACCAGCUCCCUGAUUUCCAUCCAUUGAAGUCUGAGUUCCGUGAGAAACAGAAUCAGAACUCUUGCCAAUUGGACUGCAAGAUGUCUUCAUCUACGUAUGCUGUCAUAAAAAACACUAUGGACUAUGGGGCAAGAAAAAUGUAAUAUUUUUCUCUCACGGUUUUGGAGACUGGAAAGUUCAAGUGUCCAGCAGGGCUCAUUUUGUGUUGGGGGCUCUCUUUCUGGCAUGCAGAUGCUUCCUUCUCGCUGUGUCCUCGCAUGGUGGCAAGAGAGCAACCUCAGGUGUCUCUUUCUCUUUCAAAGGACACCAGUUCUCUCAGAUCAGGGCUUCACCGUUAUGAUCUCUCUUAAUCUUAAUCUGUCCUUCAAGGUCAUAUUUCCAACAUAGUCACACGGAGGCUUAGGGCUUUUAACAUACACGUAUGAAUUUUGGGGGACACCAUUCAGUCCAUAGCAAAAGGCCAGCUUCUGAUAUUCCCACAUCAGUCAGUGAUUGGAUAUAGACCAAUGGGAAUGUGUGAUAAUCCUUGGAUCAUCUGAGGCAAUCUCCAAAAAGGCUGAAAACCGAGGGCUGCCUACCGCUGGCACUCUGAGCAGCAUACACCACAUGCUCCAUCAGUGUUACUGCCCUCAGCUGGGGAGAACCCCCCUCACACAAGUUGUGAUACCUUCCUAGAGGCAGCCUGCAUUCAAUGACAGCUUGAGAGGGGCGUAAAGGGCCAGCCACUCUGACCUGAUUCAGGACAAUUCUGCAAGGCUCUCCAAGCUCCAGAAUUCCUAUACUGUUUCCUGAACCUUUGUUGUCACCGUUUCCCAAACUACUUUUCUUUUUGUCAAUCCUGACCCUUUCCCUCUCCUACUACAGAUGUUGGUCACUCGAAUACUCGCAGCACACUUCUAUGAAUGAAUCUUUGUCUCAGAGAUUGCUCCCCAAGGAACCCAGUCAGUGCCAUCGGAAAUCAAAACAUUUAUUUAUUUAUUUUAAAAAUAUGUAAAUAAAAUGAUUAUUUUCACCAUUUUAAUGUACAAGUUAGUGAUCAUUACACAUUUAAUACUUGCAUGAAAACAUCACAUUUACCGCAUAAAUAUGGACAACUAUUAUGCAUCUAUUAUAAUUAAAAAUAAAACAUUUAUAAAUGAGAACAUACUGGAAAUGUGUAGUCAUGAUGGUGGCACCAUCUUAUGUUUUUAAAUUAAGAAUUUUGGAGCAGGAAAUGUUUUCUGUCUGUACCUAGGUCUUUACAUAUCAGAAAAUUUCAUAAAAGACCAGAAUAAAAGUAGCCAUACAAAAUACAACCACAAAAUAUGUAUUAAAUAGCCUACCAAAAUGCCACAAUGUAUCAUUAUAAUCACUAUUAAAUAUUUAUUAUGCAACAGUAUCAUUUAUGCAAUAGGAUUUUUUAUAAACCAGCAAUUUGCACUUUGAAAUUCAAUUUCAGUGAAUCACAAGCUUAAAAAUUGAAAUUCAAAUUAAGCAUUUCCUUUAUUCAAAGUCAUAUAUCAUAUUGAAAAUAAUCUGUAUUUUUAUUGCAAAAGAACACUUUAAGAAAACCCUAGAGAAUUGUUUGACCUAAUAAUUGUAAUUGUGCAUGUAUUUCUUAAUAUUAUUGAUUAAAUUUAUAUUUAGCCAUUUCUCUCAGCUAUAUAUAGUUACAGCAAAGCUAUUUUGCAUCAACAUAUAUGUCUCCCUAACUAUGAUAAAGAAUAUGGUAAUGAUGUUGUAAAUUGAUUGGAAAAGAUGAUCUAUCAAUUCUUUUGCAGCUUCCGAAUUCCAAAAGGUCAUUGCAUGCUAUGUGUAUAUUUUUAUUCUUUCAAAUCCUUCCGAUUACACAGAAAUAAUAAAA
rnacentral:lncRNA from 1 species